AGUGAACGCUGGCGGUAGGCCUAACACAUGCAAGUCGAACGGCAGCACAGUAAGAGCUUGCUCUUACGGGUGGCGAGUGGCGGACGGGUGAGGAAUACAUCGGAAUCUACUUUUUCGUGGGGGAUAACGUAGGGAAACUUACGCUAAUGCCGCAUACGACCUACGGGUGAAAGCAGGGGAUCUUCGGACCUUGCGCGAUUGAAUUAGCCGAUGUCGGAUUAGCUAGUUGGCGGGGUAAAGGCCCACCAAGGCGACGAUCCGUAGCUGGUCUGAGAGGAUGAUCAGCCACACUGGAACUGAGACACGGUCCAGACUCCUACGGGAGGCAGCAGUGGGGAAUAUUGGACAAUGGGCGCAAGCCUGAUCCAGCAAUACCGCGUGGGUGAAGAAGGCCUUCGGGUUGUAAAGCCCUUUUGUUGGGAAAGAAAAGAAGCAGGUUAAUCCCCCGCUGUUCUGACGGUACCCAAAGAAUAAGCAACGGCUAACUUCGUG
rnacentral:rRNA from 1 species